rnacentral:rRNA from 1 species
UGGUGACAAUAGCCUUGUGGAACCACCUGAUCCCAUCCCGAACUCAGAAGUGAAACGCAAAUGCGCCGAUGGUAGUGUGGGGUCUCCCCAUGUGAGAGUAGGUCAUCGCCAAGCA